AAUCCAUGAUUUAGGCAUUUUCUCAGCAUAAUUUUGAAUCUUUCCCAUGUCUCACAGAAAGCUUCAUCUGCUCCUUGUCUGAACAUAGAAAUUUCAUACUUUUCUUU
rfam:Phaseolus vulgaris cultivar G19833 chromosome 10, whole genome shotgun sequence.